rnacentral:rRNA from 1 species
AUUGAACGCUGGCGGCAUGCCUUACACAUGCAAGUCGAACGGUAACGCGGGGGCAACCCUGGCGACGAGUGGCGAACGGGUGAGUAAUACAUCGGAACAUAUCCAGUAGCGGGGGAUAACCUAUCGAAAGAUUGGCUAAUACCGCAUACGAUCUACGGAUGAAAGCGGGGGACCGCAAGGCCUCGCACUAUUGGAGUGGCCGAUGUCAGAUUAGCUAGUUGGUGGGGUAAAAGCCCACCAAGGCGACGAUCUGUAGCUGGUCUGAGAGGACGAUCAGCCACACUGGAACUGAGACACGGUCCAGACUCCUACGGGAGGCAGCAGUGGGGAAUUUUGGACAAUGGGCGCAAGCCUGAUCCAGCCAUGCCGCGUGAGUGAAGAAGGCCUUCGGGUUGUAAAGCUCUUUCGGUGAAGACGAAACGGUUAGUGUUAAUAACACUGACUAAUGACGGUACUCACAGAAGAAGCACCGGCUAACUACGUGCCAGCAGCCGCCGCGGUAA